rnacentral:rRNA from 1 species
GCGGCGGACGGGUGAGUAAUGCCUAGGAAUCUGCCUAGUAGUGGGGGAUAACUUGCCGAAAGGUAAGCUAAUACCGCAUACGUCCUGCGGGAGAAAGCAGGGGACUCUUCGGAGCCUUGCGCUAUUAGAUGAGCCUAGGUCGGAUUAGUUAGUUGGUGAGGUAAUGGCUCACCAAGACUGCGAUCCGUAACUGGUCUGAGAGGAUGAUCAGUCACACUGGAACUGAGACACGGUCCAGACUCCUACGGGAGGCAGCAGUGGGGAAUAUUGGACAAUGGGGGGAACCCUGAUCCAGCCAUGCCGCGUGUGUGAAGAAGGUCUUAGGAUUGUAAAGCACUUUAAGUUGGGAGGAAGAGCAGUUAACUAAUAUUUGACUGUUUUGACGUUACCGACAGAAUAAGCACCGGCUAACUUCGUGCCAGCAGCCGCGGUAAUACGAAGGGUGCAAGCGUUAAUCGGAAUUACUGGGCGUAAAGCGCGCGUAGGUGGUUCAGUAAGUUAGGAGUGAAAGCCCCGG